GCAGUAGAAGAUGAGGUGCACUUCAUGAUGGAGUGUAGCUUCUACUCCGACAUCAGAACGUGACUUUUUCAUAAAUGUAACCAACUAAACUCAAGCUUUAUGGACCUCCAAUUAUAUGAUAAGUUAUGCUGGUUGUUGUCAAAUGAUGAUAUCCAAUACGAACUAGCCAAAUGUUUGCAAAGAAUACAAAGAAGAAGUCUCCGCUUCUAAUAAAAGUUCAAGAAUUCGUCACUCCAUGUGCGGUUGUGCUGGUUUACACAGUUACAUGUGGCUUAAUGUUAUCUCGAAUGGUAUGUCAUCUGAGCAGGUUGGGUUCAUGGAAAUCUACAGGGUCAUACACGGGUGACCACCUAUCCACGAACGUCCAGGGACAAGUUUGAGUCAGCUUUUUACCUGCUUGGUGAACCGAACAGGUAUCACCUCACCACAUCUGGCCUGCGCCUGAAAUAGUACCAUUAAUACCAAUACGAUGGUAAAAUAACGUCCUCUAACUUAUCACAGACGCUAUUUCUACACAAAGGCAAACAAUUAUUUCGACUUAAUAGUGGUCUGUACUGUCCACUGGUUACAUGUAGGGAAGUACUUCCUGGAUGUGUUCAUUUUCUGCAAAUAUAUAACGUUCAUAGAGAAUUAAAGAGAGACACCCCGA